UGUUGAAUGUAAACUACAUAAAACGUUGACUUGAGUAAUUCGCAACGGAAUUCCAGAAACAUUUCUUAUCGGUAGAGUAAUGAAAUUUUGAAUUUCUGGUCUAAUAAUCUAGAAGUACUUUCCAAAAGAGUUUUUGUUUCCUAUCUUUAUA